GCGUUUGUGGUCUAGUGGUAGUGUGCCUCGUUUCAAUAGAGGCGACCCGGGUUCAAUUCCCGGCAGACCCC
rfam:Gregarina niphandrodes unplaced genomic scaffold scaffold00218, whole genome shotgun sequence.